GAGAGUGUGGCCCUCUUCUCUGUCUCCUUCCUAUCCCAGUGGGAGAGCUGAAGUCAAAGGACACCCAUUCUCCCUUCCAGCCUUGGAAGGAGAGGCAAGCAAGGAGGUGGACUGCUGUGCCUGUUGAAAUGCUCACCCUCAAUGCUGGCAAGUCUUGGGUGGCAUCAGGGUCUGCCUGAGUUUCUCUUUCUGGUGUUCCCUUUCCUUUUCAGAAGGGGUGCCCCAGUCUCAGUGGGCUCUGCCUGGGGUUUCUGAGCAUCCUGGCAUUUCUUCUGUAUUUUAGAAUUCCAGGUAAGAAAUGUGAGCGUCAAAUAAGAGGAGGAAGCUCUCUUUGGAAUGUGUGUUAGGAGAAGAGUGGCAGAGAGGCUGCUCUGGGGUUGGCUUCCUGGGAUGGGGGAAGCUUUGGAUGUCAGUUUCCUCUCCUGCCAAUGAGAUUUUAAUAGCAUCUUCUUUUCCUUCCUGGUUCUCAUGAAGACUAUACAAGACAACAAGGAAAAAUGCCCUAGGAAACAAAAGAUGGUUUGUACCAUAAAUCUAAGAUGAUCCCUUAGGUUACCCCAACCUGAUACUGUGCUCUGCAAUUUCUUCCUAUUUGAAAACAAGACCAUGAGGGAGGCAGUUUGGCUUUUAAUGAGGCUCUCAUCUUCCUUAGACCUCAAUGUCAUUGGAAUGAGCUCUGGAGUAGAAGUUGGGAGAAUCCAAAUUUGAGUUCCAGCUUUCUUGAAGCUAAGACUUAACUAAGAGAUCUUGAUGGUAAACUCCAUGAAAAGAAGAAAGAAGCGACUGUCCUGCUGUUCCUUUCUGCAACCCCACACUUAGUACAGCGAUCUGCACUGCUGAGUGAAUCUUUGGUUGGAUGAUUUUGCUGCUGCAGAAUCUUGAGGGUUAACUCCUGAAGAGAGGAAGGAUUAUGGGAAGUGGAGAAGCUGAAGGGUAACUGAAACCAUGGAAAGUGAAGCCAGGAUAAGGGAGAGGUACUACAAUUCAUGUGACUGGGAGUCUGAGCUGCGAGGUACACAAGGGCCUCUAGAUUCCAACAUGUCAGGUAAGGAAGGCAGUGUCAGGACACAGCUGACACCUUGCCAGAAACUCCUCCAAGUCGCUAGAACUGGAUAAACUCUGAACUUCAUUUAGUCUACUGAUUUUUUGUUUGUUUUAAUUGCAUCGUACUUUUCAAAACCAUUUUUUCAGCCAGUUGAGUUCACCUAAACCUGAGAUAUUUUAUUUAAAUUUUCUGAUGUUUCAACAUCUCUUGAAAGGAAACAAUGCCUGACAUCCUGACACCUCAUUCCUCUAGAGCAAUGCAUGGUGGAGGUGGAGUAGGCUGCCCCUUCCAUCAAGCUGCCCUGCCCAGCUGGUCACAGUCACCAUCCCUGCCCAUGUCCCUCCACUUCACCUUCUUUACCGUGCCUGAGCAGCCAUGCAGUAAUCCCUGGAGAGGCUGAGAUCUUUAAUGUCUCUCUAGACUGUGUCUUCCUACUCAACUUGCCAUAACUGUUCAUUAAAAUCAUUCUAGCGGCCUCUUUCCCAGCUUGUGUUUAUAUCUUUUUUCUUUUAUUGAGAAGCUAAAUAGGCAGCACCUGUGCAAAGAAAUGCAAAAUUGCCAACGCAAGACAGUACC